ensembl:lncRNA
GCAUCUCCAAUCAACCCCGAGUCUACCCGAACGUACCCCCCCCCCAUUCCCAGUAUCCCCCAUCUCUCUCUUUGCCUGAGGGACCCCAGACCCAAAUUAAGGGACCCCAAUUAAGGGGGGGGGGGGGAUAAUAUGGGACCCCAGCCCCAAUUAGGGGCAGCCCUGGGGGUCCCUAAUUAAAGAAGAUGGGGGUCUCAGUUAAUUAGAGGUAAUGAUGGGGGCCGGGGGUCCGGAAUCGGGGACCCCAGCCCCAAUUAGGAGCUCCAUGAGGACCCCAGCCCCAAUUAGCACCAUUGGGACCCCAGACCCAAUUAAAAGCUCCAUUGGGACCCCAGCCCUAAUUAGGGAGCACCAUUGGGACCCCAGCCCUAAUUAGUGGCCCCAUUGGGACCCCAGCCCUAAUUAGAGGCUCCAUUGGGACCCCAGCCCCAAUUAGAGGCUCCAUUGGGACCCCAGCCCUAAUAAGGGAGCACCAUGAGGACCCCAGCCCCAAUUAGGGGCUCCAUUGGGACCCCAGCCCCCAAUGAAGGGCACCAUUGGGACCCCAGCCCUAAUUAGAGGCUCCAUUGGGACCCCAGCCCCAAUUAAAGGCUCCAUUAGGACCCCAGCCCUAACUAGGGGGCGUUAUUCCCCCUCUGUCCACUAGGGGGCGCCAUAGGAACAGCAGCCCUACACAGCGAUCCCAUUGAGACCCCAGCCCCAAUUAAAGUCUCCGUUGGGACCCCAGCCCCAAUUAAGGGCUCCAUGAGGACCCCAGCCCUAAUUAGGGAGCACCAUUGGGACCCCAGCCCUAAUUAGAGGCUCUUCUGGGACCCCAACCCUAAAUAGGGAGCACCAUUGGGACCCCCAAUUACCAUGCCAUACCACAACCAUCCACAAGGGGGCAGCACUGAGACCCCAGCCCCAAUUAGGGGCCGUUAUUCCCCCUCUCUCCACUAGGGGGCGCCAUCCCUACCUAUCGCUCCCAUUGAGACCCCAGCCCCAAUUAAAGGGACACCAUGCCAUACCACAACCGUCCACUAGGGGGCAGCACUGAGACCCCAGCCCCAAUUAGGGGCCGCUAUUCCCCUUACCCACCACCAGGGGGCAGCACUGAGACCCCAGCCCCAAUUAGUUGCCGUUAUUCCCCUUACCCUCCACUAGAGGGCGCUAUGGAACCCCAUCCCCAACCUAUCGCUCCCAUUGAGACCCCAGCCCCAAUUAAAGGGACACCAUGCCAUACCACAACCGUCCACUAGGGGGCAGCACUGAGACCCCAGCCCCAAUUAUGGUCCCUUAUACCCCUUACCCUCCACUAGGGGGCGCUAUGGAACCCCAUCCCCAACCUAUCGCUCCCAUUACGCCCCCAGCCCCAAUUAGGGGCUGUUAUUCGCCUUAACCACCACCAGGGAGCAGCACUGAGACCCCAACCCCAAUUAGGGGCUGUUAUUCCCCCUCUAUCCACAAGGGGGCAGCACUGAGACCCCAGCCCCAAUUAGUUGCCAUUAUUCCCCCUCCCUCCACUAGGGGUCGCUAUAGAACCCCAUCCCCACCUAUUGCUCCCAUUACGCCCCCAGCCCCAAUUCCCCCCCGUAUCCCCCCCCUCACACGGUGGUGACUGACAGCAGCGGGUUGUAGACCCUCCCCCCAUCCGCCCCCCUCAACAUCCCCUGGAUCGUCACCCAAUUCUCCA